UUCGCGGUCUUUGUGUUCCUGAGGGGCGGAGGGGUGGGAGAGUCUCGUGCGGCCCCCGCGAUGCAUCAGCUAUACUAUUCCUUCUUGUGGCUUCAAAAUAGAUCUGCCACCAAAUGCACAGCCUUGAUGCCACUUCACAAGGAUUUGACUCCUGCCCUCAGCAGACGUGCAGAAGGAACAUCACCUGGCACUGGGAGAUAAAGCUCUAACCUGUGUAAGAUUGCCCUGGACAGAGGAGACCUGUGCCUCUUGUGAGAGAAGCUAUUUCAUCUGUUACUGAUGUUGGUGAAGACAAGGCCUUCCUAAUUGCAGGCUUCCAAAAUGUUUCUCCUUGCAAGGUGCAGUGGAGCCAGGAAUUGGGGCAGUUGGGAGUGCUGCCAGCAAAGGGGUGAAUCUUGUGAGGAGUUUCUGUGAGAAACAAGGUGGAUGUGCCUGAGGUAAGUGUAGAGUACAUGGGGGAAAGGACUGUGCUGUUUGCAGCCUCACUGGGUGAGGAAGCAACUCUGCAAUUACUGUAUCAAGAACUGAGAAGGUGGAGGAUUGCAGUAUAACUGGCUACACUUGCAUGAACAGCAUUAAAAAGCCAAAGUGGUUUUUUUUACCCCACUGGUAAUGUUUGCCUGACACUGGUUGGAGCCAAUAAAAAUCUGCAAACUCUG